UACGUAAGGGGCAAGCGUUGUCCGGAAUUAUUGGGCGUAAAGAGCUCGUAGGCGGUUUGUUGCGUCGGCCGUGAAAACCUGCAGCUUAACUGUGGGCCUGCGGCCGAUACGGGCAGACUUGAGUUCGGUAGGGGAGACUGGAAUUCCUGGUGUAGCGGUGAAAUGCGCAGAUAUCAGGAGGAACACCGGUGGCGAAGGCGGGUCUCUGGGCCGAUACUGACGCUGAGGAGCGAAAGCGUGGGGAGCGAACAGG
rnacentral:rRNA from 1 species